rnacentral:tRNA from 1 species
GCGCCCGUAGCUCAGUAGGAUAGAGCGUCGGUUUCCUAAACCGAAGGUCACAGGUUCGAAUCCUGUCGGGCGUA